ACCAGUUCUCCCUCCGUUCCAGACAUGCUCCUUCCGUCAUCUUUCGAACCUUCCUCUGCCAUUCAUCCUUCGAACCGUUCUCCCUCCGCCUCCUCUCUUUGUUUUCCGUUACGUACUCCCUCUGUUUCCGCCCGUUCUCCCUCCGCUUCCCUCCGACCGGUCGUUCUCCCUCUGCUACCCGAAUUUUUCUUCAAUGCCAUCACUGGUUUGAAAAGUUCCGGAAAAUCCUUCUUCUUCAUCUCGCGAUAACAACAACAACAUUGCAAUUUUUCUUCUUCAUCUCCACGAACAGCUUCACCAAUCCCUCUGCGCAAACUUCGACACAUUUCGGACUUCAAUUCUGAACUCAUACACUCUUCUUUAUAUUUUACUCAAAUUCAACAAGGAUGCUUCUCAGUGCUAUAUAGAAGAUGAAGUGGAUAGAUAAUUAGAUUCCUUAAAGUUGUCUGAUUUUUUAUCCUGACUAAUUAGUGUUUUUGUUUAGCGGCUUCCCGAAUACUAAUAGCAUGAUAAAACCAUGAUUUAAUUUUUGUUUUUGCCACUUUUGAACAUAAUUGGAAUAUACCAUGAAUUUGAUCAUAAUUGAUUAUUGGUUUUGAUGUUGUGUUUUGAUGAUUGAGUUAUUUUGAAGGAGAUUUGGAUGGCAUUCUUGAACAAUUUGUUUUUUAAUGCGAAAGUUUAACUUAAUCAUGAUAUUUUAAACCAAUUAACUUGAGAUUUUUCAUUGAUACAAGUUUCUUGAUGUUUGAUGAGUAA